rnacentral:lncRNA from 1 species
GUUUCCAUCUGGCCUUUGUGGGCAGAGACUAGAGCGAUGUUUGCACUUGGGUGAGCGCGGCUGGCCCCGGGCCAUUGUUAGGAGUCUUCAGUGCAGGGUGUCAGCCAGGAUGGAUCUGCGCUGCAUCCCUCUGUCCAGGGCCCGCCCCAGGAGCGCCCAGGGUGUGUGCAUCUGCAGACAGACAGGACACCGGGACCCCCAGAGAGAGUCUCCCAAGGUACCUCUUGGCCCAGUGUUCCUGGCCAGAGAAAGACUUGGCAACUGGAGGACGUGGGCCAACCCCUGACCAGAUGGGGACAGGAAGGCUGAAUAACUUGCCUGAAGUCGUGGUGGGUUGGUGGCAGUUCCAGGCUAGAAAGCAGAUCUGAGAAAAUAACCCAACCCUUCACCACCCUGAAACGCCUUUUCUGCUGCCUGCGGUGUGGAGGAUGUAGUCCAGGGCAUACAGAAUAAAAGACUGACUCAGGCAGCCCAAGCUUCCACAAACUACUUAGAAAGGAAUGAAAGUGAUCCUUAAAACUCGACAGUUGGAAAGACAUUCCCUGUGGGGAAGAGGCACUAGCUAGGGAAUCAAAAGACCGGAGAUUCAAUCUUGGCUCUGUUGCUCACAAGCAAUGCGACCUUGGGUAGGUCAAACAGUUUCUAUGGUUUCGGUUUCUUCUGGAAAUUGGCAGAGGGGCAGUUACAGUAAAUCAGAGGCUCUCUACGUUCAGGGUGCAUUAGAAUCACGUGGGGCGGAGGCAGUGAGGGAUGGUGGGGAGAGGGUUGUUAAAAUACAGAUUAAUGUUCCCUAAACCUGGAGCUUCUAAUUCAAUAAAAUUUGCAUUUCCAACAAUUUUCCAGAGACUGCUGCUGCUGCUCCUGGGACUCCACUUUGAGAAACACCACAUUAGAUCCUCUCUAAAUCCUUGCUGCUCAAUAUGUUGUGCCCAGAGCAGCAGCAUCUGGAAGCUUGUUAGAAACAUAAAAUCUUGGGGCCUACCCAGUCCUACUAAAUUUGAAUCUGCAUAAAAAUAAGAUUCCUAGGUGAUUCUUUUGCAUAUUAAAAUUUGAGAAGCAUGGCUCUAAAUUCACUUUAUGAUUUUAUAGAAAAGAUAAAUAUUCUGUCUCUUCUUCUUUCCACACACACAUGCACCCACCCACCCACCCACCCACCUAUAUAUAGACACAGAGAAAAAUCUAUCUCGUCUUAAUUUGCAAGGCAGAUUGUGGUUUUCCUAAUGCUUUCAAACUCUGCAUACAUAUAUGUGUAUGUAACCACUUAAUAGAGAAUAUAGCUUGAUGUAUGAGUUCUUAUGCAAAGGAUCAGAGGAGCAGGAUUAGGUUCUUAGCAAUCAAAGAAAUCUUGGUGGCCUGGUCUAGCAUCUACAAAUGGAAAACUCAAAGUUGGAUGGAGGAAGGGACUAUACGCAGUAGAGUCUUAUUUCAGUCCUUAUAAUAUGCAAAGUUGCCAACGCCCGAAGGCUUUCAGAAGGACACCCUGGACUUUCUAUUGUGUAUUUUUGGAGGUAAAAUAUGAAUAACUUUAGGUUGUGGGCAUAACAGAAAUAACCUAAACCAGCAAUUAAAGGCACAAUACCACCAUAGACUUGGGUGGGCUAGAGGCAGAUUCCUGGUUAUCUGCUUGGGGUGGAAGCCAUUAAAAAAAAAUAGCAUCCAAGGUAAAACUAUAAUGUUUCCAGUUUUCAAGACAAACUUACUCCUACACUCUUGUUAUAGAUUGUUGUUUAGGUUAUUCAAAUUUAGAAUGGUAAGAUUUUAUGAUGGCAGUUUAUGAAGAGCCUGUACAAUUUUACACACACACACACACACACACACACACACACACACACACUGUCUCUCUCUCUCUCUCUCUCUCUGUUAAAUAAAUUAUGUGAUCCUCCUUUGCUUCAUGGGUCAUGAUUUUCUCUCCCCCACAGCAUUCUGAUUUACACUCUCUCUAGAAUACAGUAGGGCCUCCUGUGGAGGAAGACAGCAGAUAACAGCCCAUCUCAGUGGGUCAUGCCUGUAAUCCCAGCACUUUGGGAGGCCUCAGCCAGUGGAUCACUUGCGUUCAGGAGUUCGAGACCAGCCUGGGCAACACAGCAAGACCCCAUCUUUUAAAGAUAAAAAAAAUUGGUUGACCAUGGUGGCUGUGAACCUGUAGUCCCAGGGAGGCUGAGGCGGGAGGAUGGCUUGAGCCCAGGGCAGUGAGCCGUGAUUGCUGCCACUGCACUCCAGCCUAGGUAACACAGUGAGACCCUGUCUCAAUGAAAGAAAAGAAAAAAAAGAUUAGAUAAGAGCAUCUUUGCUCAUUACGCAAACCUAGGAGUGACUGUUUUAUAGGUAGAAGAUGCUGUGUGAGGCUAAGGUGAG